rnacentral:rRNA from 1 species
UACGUAGGGUGCGAGCGUUAAUCGGAAUUACUGGGCGUAAAGCGUGCGUAGGCGGUUCGUUAAGUGCGUCGUGAAAGCCCCGGGCUCAACCUGGGAAUUGCAUGGGAAACUGGCAGGCUUGAGUGUGGCAGAGGAGGGUGGAAUUCCGCGUGUAGCAGUGAAAUGCGUAGAGAUGCGGAGGAACACCGAUGGCGAAGGCAGCCCUCUGGGCCAACACUGACGCUCAGGCACGAAAGCGUGGGGAGCAAACAGG